rnacentral:rRNA from 1 species
CACACCUGUUCCCAUGCCGAACACAGUAGUUAAGCUCCUUAGCGCCGAUGGUAGUCGGACUUACGUUCCGCAAGAGUAGGACGUUGCCAGGC